rnacentral:tRNA from 2 species
GCGGGUGUAGUUUAGUGGUAAAACAUCUGCCUUCCAAGCAGAGGUCGGGAGUUCGAUUCUUCUCACCCGCA